GUCCGUUUGCACACAUGCAGAAAUGAACGAACAGAAGUUGGGAGUAAAUUGGUCAGCCGGAGCAGAAGGAGGUUCGCCUUCAACAAUGGCUUCCAUAAGCUCAUAAAAGUUCACCCAUCCUCCAUCUUGUUCUGGUGGAGAAUAAGGAAAUUUUCCAGUUGCACACUCGAGUAAUAUCAGGCCCAAGCUCCAAAUGUCACUUUUAUUGUCAUACCUCUCUCCCACAAUUCUCUCUGGAGACAUAUAGUUAUAUGUGCCAACAAAAGUAUUAGCCUCCCCAGAUGUGCUUGCCAUAAUCGCACUGACACCAAAGUCUGUAAUCUUGACUUCCCCUCUAUGGUUUAUUAAUAAAUUUGAAGGCUUUAAGUCCCUAUGGAUGAUGUGUCUUUCAUGGUGAAGGUACGACAACCCCUUCAGCACCUGCUU
rnacentral:misc_RNA from 1 species